CCGCCGCCGGGGUCCCGAUGACGCACGGACCUCAGCGCAUGAUUGGUUUUCUUUUUUUUCCCCUCACAGCGGAGUUAAAGUGAGAGUGAGCGGUCACGAUUGAGCAGCAGCAGGAUCUUAAUUCAGGUGGCAACAGAGCUCUUCACACAGCGCAGGAUGGAAAAGUUCUAACAGCUAAAGCCCAAGACGUGGAGCCAAAGAGAGCCAUUGACUUUAUACAUAAAGCAUUCACCAUUUUACUCUCCAUGUCCUUCUUUAUCUUUUUGUCAGCUUGUCUCCCAUUGAUCUGUGUCAGGAGCCACUCAGUGUGAUUACUGUACUGUCAGUGUGAGACACAGAGACUCCACUGAGGUCCAAAUGAACACAGUGCUCUCUCACUUUAUCAAAUCACCCCUCUACACACACACAGACACACAGUUUGUAUUAUUUUUUUGUGAUACAAGCGUCUAGCCUCUGUUUUCUGGGUACAAUGUGUACCAAGAACAGACUUAAGGAGAACAGAAAUACUUCAAGAGGUGCUUCAGGACACUAUCUUCUGUGAACCUCCUCGUUUUCAGCAUUUGAGGUCUUGCUCUGUGCAUCCAGUUCCUGCAGCCAGAAUGUUUUUCUGCACAUGAUGUCUUUUUUUGAGCCCGUACAGAGGCUGGUGACUUGGCUGUCACGUGCUUUUGUUUCACCGAGUUCAUUUUUAAUGCUGGAAAACUACAGACAGCAACCGAAGAUUCUUGUGUUCCAGUGAGUUUUAUCGCGACACAAGUACGAACAGAUGCUUGUGCGUCAGAUGUGUUGCAUCUUCUAACGCUCCUGUCACCUCCAUUCACAUGAAAGGAGAGCGGAUGAACUGCUCCCACUCAUGCUAACUCACGUGCUUCACUUCGUGGUUAAUUACCCUUUGAACUGAACACGUCACAGUUUUUUCUGACACAAUCUCAAUUUAUUUUAUUUUUUCUAGUCACAUUAGCAUCUGCUUAUACUGCAUGUUAUUGUGAAAAUACUAAAGGUUAAGAUCUGCAGUAGAGUCUUUGUGAAGCUGAAAACAUGGAUGGACGACCCUCCCGGGGAAAACCAGUGAGAACAAUUGCAUUUGGGUCUCUGAUAACCCCCAUUAUGUGGCAUCUUUAUUGUAUCUUUGGACCCCCAGGAACUGAGCAGGGCUCUAUGGAUAAAAAUGAUUAGAUAUUAUUAAUUGUUAGCUUAAUAAUGAAGUAAUCAUUUGGGAUAUUUGAAGUAAACAAUGUGCAAAAUGAUUUAAUAAAAAACACUGAAUGAGAAA